rnacentral:lncRNA from 1 species
UAAAAAUUAGAUUCUACCCCUGAGUGGCAGUAGCAGGAGAUUUAGAAAGCAGAAUUGCAACAGAAACUCUUGCUGCUGCUAUUGGUUCUGGCAAGCAAGGUCCUGAAACAGGUUAUUGGAAGUUCCUGGUGAUGGCAGCCAUUCUCUGAUUUCUUGCAUUGAGCUUCCAGUUCUCAUGUGUGACAGGCAGUUGGGAAAGCAGCUGGUGGGGAAUGCAGCAGCUUCUUGACAACCGAAUCACAGCUAGUAUGAUGUAUCCUUGAACUAAACAGUCCAGUGGUCAUCCCCUGACUGCUGCUGCCCCAGCUCAUCCAAUCAUUUGCUUCUUUGAUUCCUGGGCCAGGUGCAUAUUUUGCUCCGUGAUGAAGGACAUCAACAAGUUUCUGUUGCAGAAUACCCCCAACAUUCAAACUGGAGUUUGGAGGUGCUUCAGGACUGAUGAAGUUGCAUUUCUGAACUAGUAUUAAAAGGGUGAGAGAGAUUUAUGUGAAACAACUGAAACAUUUCAGUGUCAAAAUACUCCCAAAUACAGAACAACAGAGUAGAUCUGUGUGCUCACUCUUGCAAGAAAGGAAGAAGGAGGAUCUGGAGGAAAUUGAACAAUAAAGCUUCCUAGCUGAAUCCAGUAAAUUUUCCCAACCUCUCCAGAAUAUGAAAAAAAAAAAUGUUGCUUUUCUGUUUUGGUAAUUUUUCACAGUUAUGAAAGAAUUGGUGAGAGCAGUUUAGGAGAUGCAAUGACACUGUAUAACAGAAGAAAA